GACGAACCGUACGAACGUUAUUCGGAAUUACUGGGCUUAAAGGGUGCGUAGGCUGCGCGGAAAGUUGGGUGUGAAAUCCCUCGGCUCAACCGAGGAACUGCGCCCAAAACUACCGUGCUCGAGGGAGACAGAGGUGAGCGGAACUUAGGGUGGAGCGGUGAAAUGCGUUGAUAUCCUAAGGAACACCCGUGGCGAAAGCGGCUCACUGGGUCUCUUCUGACGCUGAGGUGCGAAAGCGUGGGGAGCAAACAGG
rnacentral:rRNA from 1 species